rnacentral:tRNA from 1 species
CGUUAGCUCAGUUGGUAGAGCAUCAGACUUUUAAUCUGUUGGUCGCAGGUUCGAGCCCUGCAC